GAGAGUGUUCCUGGCUCUAGGUCCCUGGUCUUAUGAUUGCAGAUCCAGUCUUACCACAAUCCAGUCCACACUGCCUCUCCUCAAAGGGAGAAAGGGCAUUGCUGCUGAUCUCACCUCCUCCCUUCCCCCUUGGUGGUGGUGGGCCAGGACUCUUUGAAAGAGUGAUCAUGUGUUUAAUUAUUAGCUUUGCCACCUUGCACCUGCUUGCCCGCUUGCUCAGUCACGUCCCACUCGUCGGCCACGUUCUCCAGGCAGCUGCGUCAGCCUUCCAAGAUGCAGAGUGAAAUGCAAUGACUGGAGCUCCAGCAGUUACCAUGGACCAUGAGGUGACCUUAGGCAUGAAACCAACACAGCACAGAACAACAGAGAAGGAAGCUGAUUCAUCAACACUCUGGGGCACCGUACCAGCCCAGACGGUUCCUCAGAAUGUCUUGGACACAACCAAGAAGUAAACAUCUGUGCUGCUUAAACUACUGUUAUUUGUUUUCUGUUCUGUUACUCAUAAUUAGACAUAAUCUAACGAAUGCAAGUCUCUAAUGAAGGUGUCCUUUAGAGGCCACAUAGAUUGGUCAAGAGCCCAGAACGUAAAUCCAGAUGCACUUGCUAAGGGUAUGACCUUAUACAAGCGACUUCACCAUCUGGAAUCUCAAUUUACUCAUCUGUAUAGUAGGGCUAGUAAUAGCAUUUAUCCUCCUCCUUGGUGCUCCCUACGGAGGUGGCAGCCAUCUCUUCCUCAGCAUCAUGGCCACCCUCAGAUCCCUUGUGAAGCCCAAGAUCGUCAAAAGGAGAACUAAGCAGUUCAUCCGGCACC